GCUGGCUCUUGUGUGUCAGCUCCAAGCUCGCCACGAAACCCUAGCAACUUCUCCCCUUCUUGCAUGAUGCGAGUCACUUCAGUGAUGAUGACUGUCUCGGGUUCUUUCUGGUCAUGUGGCUCAUCUGAUGGCUUCUUUGGCUUGCCCUUCUUUUUCUUGCCAGGCUCCUUAUCGUCAGCUUCUGGCUUCUCAGGUGUCUCCUUCAAGCCAAUGAUAGUCGAUGUGGGCUCCUUUCCAGGUAUGCCCUCUCUGCUUGGAAGCUUGGCUGGCUCUUGAGUCUCAGCUCCAG